UUAAUAAUAAUAUGACUAUUUAAUUCCUUUUGCAUAAGGAUUAAUUAAAAAUAAGAAAUUUUUCUAUAAAAGAAAAGUAUCUAGUUAGAAAUAUAAUAUUUGUAUGUGAAAUAUACUUCUAAUACAUUUCUAAGUGAAAUACAAUUACGAUGCCUGAUAACUUUUUAUACUUAAUAUUAUGGACAACCAUAAUAGUAUUAUUAAUAAUAUUUAAGAACAGGAUUAGAAAUAACCCAACCAUUGAUUUGUAGUAAACCAUUUGUAAGUUGUCAACAUUUUAUUUGCGUUUUUCUUGAUAAAUGAUUAAUCUGGAAAAAAAAUAAUUAAGUAAGUAAGGGCAACUUUAAACCAUAAUUAAAAUUCGGCCAAUUUUAUACUAAUGUUUAAUAAAAACAUUGCAAUAUAUAAUGUAUUGUAAAUUUCCUGCCCAAUGAUAAUUUAAAUGGCCGCAGUAAUCUGACUGUGCAAAGGUAGCGUAAUCAUUUGUUUAAUAAUUUUAAACUAGAAUGAAAGGAAUAAAGUAUAAGAACUAUUAAUUUAUGGCUACGCAUAAAUCUUUACUUAAGUGCAAAAACUUAAAUUAAAUGUAUAAACGAGAAGACCCUAGGAACUCAAACCAUUUUUAUUGGGAAAAUACAAAACUAUAUUAUAUCUGAUAAACAUGAAACUAAUCAAAAAAAGUUACCCUAGGGAUAACAGCACAAUAAUUAUUAAGAGACCUAAUCCAAAUAGUUGAUUAUGACCUCGAUGUUGAAUCAUUUGUAGAAUAUAAUUUGCAGAAGAAUUCUGUUUUCGUCUGUUCGACGAUGGACAUUACGUGAUUUGAGUUUAAACCGUUGCGAAACAGGUUGGAUUCUCUUUUACAUUUAACAAAAUAAACUAAACUCAGUACGAAAGGACCAAUUUAAUUAAUCAAACAAUUAUGAUAAAAUUAUAUAUUUUUAUGCUAAUAAUUCUAUGAAUCCUGUUUGAUCUACUACGAGAACACUUACAACUU
rnacentral:rRNA from 1 species